CAAAGAUCCGUAAUUCAAACGACAGCAUGUCAACAUAGAACAGACCUAUACAAAACUCUUGUAUUAUCAAAUCUAUUACUCAAGAACACUAAUUACACGCAUGCCAAAUAACAACAGUCAUAUUAAUUCCACACCGCUCAAAACGUUCCGCGACAUGUUUAUCACUGGGCGCUAUAUAAUGCCAUUGCAUGCAGUCAUUACAUAAACGAGCAUUCGCACCAGUUACAGCUUCCCGCAUGAUCAACCAUGCUAUCCUAGUAUACUACGGUGCACUGGUUAAACAUCGACCAAACAAAGAUAGUCAUUUCAAACAGCUCAAGCCUUCCCGCGACAGAUUGAUCAUGGAGCACUGCAAACAAGGCC